GGCCUUGACAUGCAGAGAACUUUCCAGAGAUGGAUUGGUGCCUUCGGGAACUCUGACACAGGUGCUGCAUGGCUGUCGUCAGCUCGUGUCGUGAGAUGCUGGGUUAAGUCCCGUAACGAGCGCAACCCUUGUCCUUAGUUACCAGCACGUUAUGGUGGGCACUCUAAGGAGACUGCCGGUGACAAACCGGAGGAAGGGUGGGGAUGACGUCAAGUCAUCAUGGCCCUUACGGCCCUGGGCUACACACGUGCUACAAUGGUCGGUACAAAGGGUUGCCAAGCCGCGAGGUGGAGCUAAUCCCAUAAAACCGAUCGUAGUCCGGAUCGCAGUCUGCAACUCGACUGCGUGAAGUCGGAAUCGCUAGUAAUCGUGAAUCAGAAUGUCACGGUGAAUACGUUCCCGGGCCUU
rnacentral:rRNA from 1 species